rnacentral:rRNA from 1 species
AUUGAACGCUGGCGGCAGGCCUAACACAUGCAAGUCGAACGGUAACAGGAAGAAGCUUGCUUCUUUGCUGACGAGUGGCGGACGGGUGAGUAAUGUCUGGGAAACUGCCUGAUGGAGGGGGAUAACUACUGGAAACGGUAGCUAAUACCGCAUAACGUCGCAAGACCAAAGAGGGGGACCUUCGGGCCUCUUGCCAUCGGAUGUGCCCAGAUGGGAUUAGCUAGUAGGUGGGGUAACGGCUCACCUAGGCGACGAUCCCUAGCUGGUCUGAGAGGAUGACCAGCCACACUGGAACUGAGACACGGUCCAGACUCCUACGGGAGGCAGCAGUGGGGAAUAUUGCACAAUGGGCGCAGGCCUGAUGCAGCCAUGCCGCGUGUAUGAAGAAGGCCUUCGGGUUGUAAAGUACUUUCAGCGGGGAGGAAGGGAGUAAAGUUAAUACCUUUGCUCAUUGACGUUACCCGCAGAAGAAGCACCGGCUAACUCCGUG